GCCCAGGUGGCUCAGUUGGUAGAGCAUGUGACUAUUGAUCUCAAGGUUGUAAGUUCAAUCCUCACGUUGGGUA